GAAGUAAAAGUCGUAACAAGGUUUUCCGUAGGUGAACCUGCGGAAGGAUCAUUAUCGAGAGACUGGGGUCGAACCGGCACCAACUCUUCACCCGUGAUCUUUCGUACUUCCGUUUCUUUGGCGGAUUGUCGAAACUCGCUCCGAGCGAGCACGCCCGCCAGAGGUCCUCUAAAUCCUGCUAUCAGUGACGUCCGAGCAACGAAGUAAUCGAAAAAACUUUCAACAACGGAUCUCUUGGUUCUGGCAUCGAUGAAGAACGCAGCGAAAUGCGAUAAGUAAUGUGAAUUGCAGAAUUCAGUGAAUCAUCGAAUCUUUGAACGCACAUUGCGCCCUCUGGUAUUCCGGGGGGCAUGCCUGUUCGAGCGUCAUUACAAUCUCAAGCAGUGCUCUGGAUGUGGGCGCCGCCCCCCCCGGGGCGGGCCUGAAAGAUAGUGGCUGUCCAGCGGGACCUCAAGCGAAGAAGAAAUUUGCUCGCGCUUGCCAACGUCCUUGCCUGCGACUUGCCUAGUAUAUAUACCUUCACGAUUGACCUCGGAUCAGGUAGGGAUACCCGCUGAACUUAAGCAUAUCAAUAAGCGGAGGAAAAGAAACCAACAGGGAUUGCCCCCAGUAAC
rnacentral:misc_RNA from 1 species